rnacentral:lncRNA from 1 species
AUCAUUUUCCUUUCUCCAGCAUGUUUUCUGGCAGCCUGGAGCAAUUUUUCAGUGUGUGCUCCGUGUCAGUGUGAUCUGCACCGUCACCGUUGGAUCCCUGCCCGCAGGCUUCAGGAACGCAUCCAGUCUCUGUGUGACACCUGGGCCGGCUCUGGGAAUGCAGAACAGAUUUUGGUGAUGUAUUCAGCUUCUAAAAAUAACUCCAUCAGAGCAAAUGAAAACAAGAUGCUUCUGUUGAAAGAUAAAUAGACAAAAUUAGUAGAGGGUAUGAAUCCCUAUCCUUCCAUCAGCACCCCACAAUUGGUGUUUAGUGCUGCAGAACUCCCUUUGGAUUAGAGAUGAGAGUGCUUUAGGAGACUCCAGCUUUACCCAGAUGACCUCUCUCAAAUUCAUUUUACAAGGUGAGGUUUUUAAAUCAGUUUAUCCGCCAGCAGCCAAAGAGUGCUGUGAAAACAUCUCCAGCCGCUGCGGUGAGCCGCUGGUGACCCGGAAUGUUCUGCUUGCCGUGAUUCCCUUGGGAGUUUAUUGGAUCACAGCACAUCUGGGCAGAGGUCAGAGCUGCUCAGGAAAACAGGCAAGCCUGGCUCGGCUUCUUUUUAAGCGCCAAGGUGUUGUUUGGCUCCGUGAAUCCCUCCUUGCAGCAAUCGGGCACAGUGCUCCCGAGUUAAGGACAGGAAUUGAUGGAGGAAAUCCAUUCCUUAGCAAGGAAUUUUUGCUGUUUAUGGCAUUUUUAGAGUCUUUAGGAAGCACCUGUAGAAAUGGCGUGGGACAAUACAGAAAAUUAGAAAUACUCUGUAUGAAUAGUUACCUGUUUCGUCCAGAAGUGGAGCAAGCACAGCCUGAUUGGGAACAUGACUUAGAAAAUCAGGCAAUAUUAAUAAAAAGGACAGUGGGAAUGGGAGGCCCAUUUUCUGAGAAUUCCAGAAUGGUUUGGGUUGGAGAUUACCUUAAAAAUUACCUUUUUCUCACCCCCUGCCAUGGGUAG